rnacentral:lncRNA from 1 species
GUGCAGGAACCCUCACCCGCCCGAGCGGGGCCCUGGGCCUCCGGGUCACUCUCUGUGGCGGGGUCUGGCUGCGCGUCAGACGGCCUCCUCCAAUGCCCGCAGUUGCUGUCGCCCCCAGGCCUGGACCGGGGAGUGAGGGGUGGGCCUGACCGGCCCCUGAGCUCCCGUCAGCCCCCCACGCGAGCCCGUCCUGUGCUGGGGGCAGGGAGAUGGGCCGGUGGGAGAGGAGACCGCAUCCAGCCCUCCCUGGCCACCUGCAGGGUCCCCACCGUGGCGGCUGCUUUACUGCUAACUCCUCCCGGGGACCCCAAGUCCCCAUCGCUCUCGGGGGUCCCCCUCAUCCGAACCGCCUCGGAGGAGGGCCGCAUCUCACGCGGAGCACCCCUCCACGCCUGUGACCCUGGACUUGCUCUCCCGCCCCCGCCCGGGCCUCAGGGCUCAGGAGGCCGUGAUGAAGCCAGCAGGUGAACUGCACCCUGGAGCCUCCGACGGGGCGGCCACGGGCAGCGAAGAACCCGGAAAAACAGGUUCGAGGCAGACACAAGAUCCAGGCCCCGGCAGGCUCCGUGUCUGCCGAAGGCUUCCUGGGUCAUAGGCGACACCUUCCCGCCGUGCCCUCUUGUGGGAAAGGGGUGAGGGAGCCCUCUGGGGCUCCUUUUAUUUAUUUUUAAUUUUUUAAUUUUUUAAUUUUUUGAAGUGGAGUUUUGCUCCUGUUGCCCAGGCUGGAGUGCGGUGGCGCAACGUCGGCUCACCGCAAGCUCCGCCUCCCGGGUUCAAGGGAUUCUCCUGCCUCGGCCUCCCGGUGGCUGGGAUUACAGGCGCCUGCAACUACACCCAGCUAAUUUUUUGUAUUUUUAGUAGAGAUGGGGUUUCACCAUGUUGACCAGGCUGGUCUCAAACUCCUGACCUCAGGUGAUCCGCUUGCCUUGGCCUCCCAAAAUGCUGGGGGUCACAGGCGUGAGCCACCUCACCCGGCCGUGAAAUUUGUAUUUUUAAACUUUGUAUAAAUGGUAUUUUGCUGUCCGUGACAUUCAGCAACUUGCUCUUCUCACCCCACAGUACCCUUCUGAGGUUAAUCCGCGUUGAUAGAAGCAGGUGUGGUUCAUCUGGAAUCUGUUGGUGUGAACUGCGCGGCGGCGUCCCCCACCAGGCACCACAGGUGAUUCAUUCGUUUCCCUGAAAAGGCGCCUGGAUGCUGUUUCUAGCUCCCGUUAUCCCCAGCGAUGCUGCACCUGCCCCAGGACACACGCUAGGGUGGAACCGCCGGGCAUGGAGCAGGUGUGGUCUCAACCGCAGGAGAAACAGCCGGGUAGCCUCCAAAGGGACGUGCCACUUGGCGCUCCUGCAAGGGGAGAGGCACUGAGGCUCUCGGUCCUCACCAGCACGUCCUUGUGCCACACUCAGGCCCGGCGGGUGGUGUGGGGGCCGCAUCUCAUGGAGGUCUCCGUCCACGUUGCCCCCAUUGUGACCGCAGCGGGCGCCUCUUGGUAGCAGCCACCGGCCUCUUCUGGGACUCGCCGGAGGGUUUCCACGUCGCCCGCUCCGACGGGGCUGUUCAUCUCCCCUUGAUCUGUGGGACUCCCCGUCCGUCUCAGGUUGCAUUCCAUGGGCCCGGGAGCCUUUUUUGGACAGACGCCGUGGUGUGACUCCAGCUGAGCUGCCCCCUUGGCCAGGGCCACCAGAGGCAGCCCCCUGCCUCCAGAUCAAGAGCCCACCCACCCUCACGGGUGGCCAGGAGCUGGCCCCUGGCCUGUGGGCCGGCCUGGCUGCCUUGGUCAUGGCAGGAAGGAUCCAUCACUGCUGCCUGAUGGAUGAUCUGAGCCGCCUCCUGCCCGCGCCCCGUGCUGUUUCAGCUGCAGAAAAAUGUUUAUCACUCGGCACAGCAGCGACCCUCCCUCCCUGCCUGCCUCCCUCCCUGCCUGCCUCCCUCCCUCCCUCCCUCCCUCCCUCCUUCCUUCCCUCCCUCCCUCCCUCCUUCCUUCCCUCCCUCCCUCCCUCCCUCCCUCCCUCCCAUGCUACGGACUCCCGGCAGACAUCAGGAGGCUUUCCGGGG